AUUGAACGCUGGCGGCAGGCCUAACACAUGCAAGUCGAGCGGAGCGGUGGACGGGUGAGUAUUGCCUAGGUAUCUGCCUGGUAGUGGGGGAUACCGUCCGGUACCGGGCGCUAACUCCGCAUACUAUCAGAUUCGCCUCGGUCGGUUGUGCUAGUUGGUGGGGUAAAGGCCUACCAAGGCGACGACCCGUAACUGGUCUGAGAGGAUGAUCAGUCACACGGGAACUGAGACACGGUCCAGACUCCUACGGGAGGCAGCAGUGGGGAAGAUUGGAGAAUGGGCGAAAGCCUGAUGCAGCCAUGCCGCGUGGGGGAAGAAGGUCUUCGGUUUGUAAAGCACUUUAGGUUGGGAGGCGUUACCAUCAGAUUAAGCACCGGCUAACUUCGUGCCAGCAGCCGCGGUAAUAC
rnacentral:rRNA from 1 species